CGCGGCGGAUCGAGAGGUCCGCCGUGUGAGCCCAGAAGUCAGCCGAGGGCAUAGUAGCUCCGAGACCAUGGAGCGAAGGCC
rfam:Freshwater sediment metagenome lwMethane_BCGO26205_y1, whole genome shotgun sequence.